rnacentral:rRNA from 1 species
AACGAACGCUGGCGGCAUGCCUAACACAUGCAAGUCGAACGAGACCUUCGGGUCUAGUGGCGCACGGGUGCGUAACGCGUGGGAACCUGCCCUUAGGUUCGGAAUAACUCCCCGAAAGGGGUGCUAAUACCGGAUAAUGUCUUCGGACCAAAGAUUUAUCGCCUUUGGAUGGGCCCGCGUUGGAUUAGCUAGUUGGUAGGGUAAAAGCCUACCAAGGCGACGAUCCAUAGCUGGUCUGAGAGGAUGAUCAGCCACACUGGGACUGAGACACGGCCCAGACUCCUACGGGAGGCAGCAGUGGGGAAUAUUGGACAAUGGGCGAAAGCAUGAUCCAGCAAGGCCGCGUGAGUGAUGAAGGCCUUAGGGUUGUAAAGCUCUUUUAACCGGGAUGAUAAUGACAGUACCGGGAGAAUAAGCUCCGGCUAACUCCGUG